AGGGUUUGAUCCUGGCUCAGAGCGAACGCUGGCGGCGUGCUUAACACAUGCAAGUCGAACGCGUCCUUAGGGACGAGUGGCGAAAGGGUGAGUAAUGCACAGACAAUCUACCCUUGGGUCUGGGAUAACCUCGGGAAACUGGGGCUAAUACCGGAUGUGACCACGUCAACACCUGUUGGCGAGGUAAAAGAUUUAUUACCCAGGGAGGAUUCUGUGUCCUAUCAGCUUGUUGGCGGGGUAACGGCCCACCAAGGCAUAGACGGGUAGCAGGUCUGAGAGGAUGGUCUGCCACACUGGGACUGAGACACUGCCCAGACUCUUACGUGAGGCUGCAGUGGGGAAUAUUGGGCAAUGGGCGAAAGCCUGACCCAGCGACGCCGCGUGAACGAAGAAGGCCUUCGGGUUGUAAAGUUCUGUCAAAGGGGAAGAAAGGCACCUUCGGGUGUCUGACCACCCUGAGAGGAAGCUCUGGCUAAACACGUGCCAGCAGCCGCGGUAAUACGUGUAGAGCUAGCGUUGCUCGGAUUUACUGGGCUUAAAGGGUGUGUAGGCGGCUUUGUAAGUAAGGUGUGAAAUCCAACGGCUUACCCGUUGAACUGCACUUUAUACUGCAUAGCUUGAGGAUCGGAGAGGAUAGCGGAAUUCUGGGUGUAGCGGUGAAAUGCGUAGAUAUCCAGGAGAACGCCGGAGACGAAGGUGGCUAUCUGGCCGAUUUCUGACGCUGAAACACGAAAGCUAGGGGAGCAAACGGGAUUAGAUACCCCGGUAGUCCUAGCCCUAAACGAUGUGCACUUGGUGGCGGAUUCUUAGGAAUUCGCUGCCGUAGCAAAAGCGUUAAGUGCACCGCCUGGGGAGUACGGUCGCAAGGCUAAAACUCAAAAGGAAUUGACGGGGGCUUACACAAGCGGUGGAGCAUGUUGUUUAAUUCGAUUCUACGCGAAGAACCUUACCUGGGUUUGACAUGUACGUGGUAGUGAACCGAAAGGGGAUCCACCCUGCUUUAGUAGGGAGCGUACACAGGUGCUGCAUGGCUGUCGUCAGCUCGUGUCGUGAGAUGUCGGGUUAAGUCCCUUAACGAGCGCAACCCUUGCUCUUAGUUACCAGCGUAAAGUCGGGAACUCUAAGAGGACUGCCGGCGUCAAGUCGGAGGAAGGUGGGGACGACGUCAAGUCAUCAUGGCCCUUACGCCCAGGGCGACAAACGUGCUACAAUGGUAGGUACAAAGGGAAGCAAGCCCGCGAGGUCAAGCAAAUCCCAAAAAGCCUACCCCAGUUCGGAUUGGAGGCUGAAACCCGCCUCCAUGAAGUUGGAAUCGCUAGUAAUCGCGGAUCAGCCAUGCCGCGGUGAAUGUGUUCCUAAGCCUUGUACACACCGCCCGUCAAGCCACGAAAGUCGGGAGCGCCUGAAGUCGCUAUCCUAACCGCAAGGAGGGAGGCGCCCACGGCGAGACCGGCGAUUGGGACUAAGUCGAAACAAGGUA
rnacentral:rRNA from 1 species